GACGAACGCUGGCGGCGUGCUUAACACAUGCAAGUCGAACGGUGAAGCGCUUUCCUUUUUGGUUGGUGUGGAGGAGUGGCGAACGGGUGAGUAACACGUGAGUAACCUGCCCCCUUCUUCUGGAUCACCGCAUGAAAGUGUGGCUAAUACGGGAUAUUCUGCGCCUGCUGCAUGGUGGGUGUGGGAACGAUUGUGCCUUUGGGUGUUUUCGGUGGGGGAUGGGCUCGCGGCCUAUCAGCUUGUUGGUGGGGUGAUGGCCUACCAAGGCGGUGACGGGUAGCCUGCCUGAGAGGGUGGACGGUCACACUGUGACUGAGACACGGCCCAGACCCCUACGCGACGCAGCAGUGGGGAAGAGUGCACAAUGGGCUCAAGCCUGAUGGAGAGACGCCGCGUGAGGGAUGCAGGCGUGCGGGUUGUGACCCUCUUUCGCCAGUGAAGCAGGCCGGCUCCUGUUUGGUGGGUUGACGGUAGCUGGACAAGAAGCGCGGGCUAACUACGUG
rnacentral:rRNA from 1 species